CUGGAUGGUAACAUGUUUUUGUUGGGGAAAUCAAGCAAUGUGGUGAGGAAGAAGAAGUUUCUGGCUUUCAUAAUUGGCUUCAAUUUUACCUAGAAGAGGCAAAAGGAAGAGUUGAUUAUCAAGGAUACAUUUUUCCUCGAUGCCGUGGGGUGAUUCCGGACUCCGAAACCCAGU